GAUGAACGCUGGCGGCGUGCUUAACACAUGCAAGUCGAACGGAAAGGCCCAAGCUUGCUUGGGUACUCGAGUGGCGAACGGGUGAGUAACACGUGGGUGAUCUGCCCUGCACUUCGGGAUAAGCCUGGGAAACUGGGUCUAAUACCGGAUAGGACCACAUUUUGGAUGGUGUGGUGGAAAGUUUUUCGGUGUGGGAUGAGCUCGCGGCCUAUCAGCUUGUUGGUGGGGUGAUGGCCUACCAAGGCGUCGACGGGUAGCCGGCCUGAGAGGGUGUACGGCCACAUUGGGACUGAGAUACGGCCCAGACUCCUACGGGAGGCAGCAGUGGGGAAUAUUGCACAAUGGGCGCAAGCCUGAUGCAGCGACGCCGCGUGGGGGAUGACGGCCUUCGGGUUGUAAACUCCGUUCGCUAGGGACGAAGCGUUAUGUGACGGUACCUGGAGAAGAAGCACCGGCUAACUACGUG
rnacentral:rRNA from 1 species